AUGAUCAGCCAAUGCACAGCAUUUCAGCAUCAUGCUUUGUCCUCAGAAGAUUUCAUCACUGUUUCUCAAGGAUGUGACUACCGUCUUGGUGUUGGUAUUUUGGCUGGCAAGGAAUCACUGCUUGUAGAAGAACAUAGAUCAGCUAAAUCAACUGUUCAGAGGGGCACCUGGCACCACUCCCAAUAUGCAAGACCGUGGCAAUAUUUUACCUGAGACAAACAACUACAUUUCUGCAAACUGUUUUUAUCCACAAAAGGACGUGGGUGAACCGUGGGCAGCAUUAUUGUGCCUAGUGUUCAAUUUCAGGAGUAGUAUUCACAAACUCAUCUGCAUACCCACACUUCCCUGGAAUGAGUGAAAAUCUACAGAGUCCAGGAGUGAGAUGGGUAAAUCCCAGCACAUUGGUUGGAGGAUGCCUACAUUGAAUUUCCAGAAGAAUGAGGAGGUAUUUACUUGAAUAUGUUUCUCUCAGAGUUACA
rnacentral:lncRNA from 1 species